UACGUAGGGUGCGAGCGUUAAUCGGAAUUACUGGGCGUAAAGCGUGCGCAGGCGGUUCGUUGUGUCUGAUGUGAAAGCCCCGGGCUCAACCUGGGAAUGGCAUUGGAAACUGGCGAGCUAGAGUGUGGCAGAGGGGGGUGGAAUUCCGCGUGUAGCAGUGAAAUGCGUAGAGAUGCGGAGGAACACCGGUGGCGAAGGCGGCAUCCUGGACCAACACUGACGCUGAUGAGCGAAAGCCAGGGGAGCAAACGGG
rnacentral:rRNA from 1 species